rnacentral:rRNA from 1 species
GACAGCAGUCGCCACGGGAAUACGGAGGGUGCAAGCGUUAAUCGGAAUUACUGGGCGUAAAGCGCACGCAGGCGGUCUGUCAAGUCAGAUGUGAAAUCCCCGGGCUUAACCUGGGAACUGCAUUUGAAACUGGCAGGCUAGAGUCUUGUAGAGGGGGGUAGAAUUCCAGGUGUAGCGGUGAAAUGCGUAGAGAUCUGGAGGAAUACCGGUGGCGAAGGCGGCCCCCUGGACAAAGACUGACGCUCAGGUGCGAAAGCGUGGGGAGCAAACAGGAUUAGAUACCCCGGUAGUCCCUGUCUCUUAUAC